CUCGGCUGCUCUCUGGAUUGGUAUCGUCCCACGGGAGGCCACGGGAGGCCUCAUAAGUGCUGGCCGUGCGCCCGAGGUGACAGGAUGGUGGGCAAGAGGCGCCACAUGAAGGUUUUAUUCUAAGGGGACCAACACCCAGAACCAUCAAACCGCCCUCGUGCGUGACGAUUGCUCCUGGGACUGAGCGGGCGGGGACCUCGUGCCCCCUCCCGAGCGGCCAGCCGGGAGGUCCACAGCCAGGACAGGUCCCAGAAGGAAUGAAGGACGUUCCUGCGCCGGAGGUCACUGGACACUGCGAGGCCGACUGGAGGAGGCACCACGCACGCGCUCAGCGCCGCUCCUGCCCUGCGCCUGGGGCCGAGGUGCGCCCUGUGCGGGGACCUGCGCGUCCCUGUCCUCAAGGGGUCACAGCCCGUGGGGAGGAGGGACAGGUGAGCGAUUGGAACUGCAGCCGCGAGGAGGGGAGGGUGGAGGAGCCCUUCCAAGGGACAGAACCAGGGCUCCUAAUGGUGACCAUAAAGCGCCUACUCGGUGCCCGCGGCUUAUCCGAUAUUUGGAGCCGUAUUUUGGACACAGACCGACCCGGUUGGUUUUUCCUUAUUUGCGGUUUGAUGGAGAGGGGCACAUGUACACCAGCCCCCUCGAGUGGUCAGCUUUAGUGAGCCUCGUUCUCCGCAGUUUCAGUGAAGGGACGUGGCGGAAGGUGGGGAGGGAACGUGGCGCCUCGAGGGCACCCAGCUGGCCCUGGAGGCUGCCUGCCCGCUCCCGCCUGGUUAACGCAGACCCGUCCAUCGCUGCCCCCUCCCAGGCCCAGUUCCUACUGGGAGCCCCGGGGUGGGGCUGAGAACGUGGAGUCCAGUUCCCAGGUGCUGCUGGUCGCCGACCGCACACUGGGAACCUGGUCAGUUCCAAGGGGCGAGUGUGGUGGCCAGCCUGAAGUCCCCCUCUGUCCCUGCAGGAUCAGAGCCCAUCUGAAAGACAAAUUGCUCCCCCAACACCUUUUGGUUUUCACUCACAUUUUUCUUUGCCUUUUGAUUGACACAUGAUCACUGUACAUAUUCAUGAGGUGCCAGGUGACGCUUUGAUUCGUGUAUGCAGUUGGUCAUGACCCAUCCAGGGUCAUUAGCAUAUCUGCCACCUUGACCGCUUAGCCUUUCUCUAGGAUUCCAUUCAGAACCAUCUCUACCAGCUAUUUAGAGAUGCAUAAGGUGUCACUGUUAGGUACACUCACCCCACUGAGCCACAAAACACCAGAGCUUCCUCCUGUGUGACCAUAUCUUUGUAUUCAAUCUCGGGCCAUCUCCCUCAUCCUACUCUCAACUUCUAUGAGAUCAACCUUUUGCAUUCCACCGAUGAGUGAGAUCAUGUAACAUCUGUCUUUCGGUGCCUGAUUUAUUUCACUUAACAUUCUGUCCAUCCAAGCUGCUGCAAAUGUCAGGAUUCCAUCCUUUGAAUGGCUGCAUAGUAUUCCAUUUGGGUACAUGCAACACAUUUGCUUUGUUCACUGAUGGACAUUUAGGGUGAUUCCAUUUCCUGACUCUUGUGGAUAGUACUGCAAUAAAUACAGGAGUGCUGGUGUCUCUUCAUAUGCCCAUCUCAUUUUCUCUGGGCUGCAUACAGUAGUGCAAUUUCCAGACUGUUCAGUAUUUCUAGUGUAGAUGUUUAAGGAACCUCCACACUAUGCUCCUUAAUCCUCCCACUUUUUUUAAGCCCCUCCUGAGCCCACAGCUCACUGGGCCGCCCCUGCUCUCUUGAUCUGAUGCUUUAUUUUUUUUUU
rnacentral:lncRNA from 1 species